rnacentral:rRNA from 1 species
UACAGAGGGGGCGAGCGUUGUUCGGAAUUACUGGGCGUAAAGGGUGCGUAGGCGGUCGGGUAAGUCUGAUGUGAAAUCUCACAGCUUAACUGUGAAACUGCAUUGGAUACUAUCCGGCUCGAGGAAUGGAGGGGAGACUGGAAUACUUGGUGUAGCAGUGAAAUGCGUAGAUAUCAAGUGGAACACCAGUGGCGAAGGCGGCUCACUGGCCCGGUACUGACGCUGAGGUGCGAAAGCGUGGGGAGCAAACAGG